rnacentral:lncRNA from 1 species
GCUGGCACACUCUGUGAGUCGACCCCAUGAGUCGAUCCCUGAACAUGAGUCGACCUCUGUUGCUGUGUAGGCCAAAAUUACAAAACUAUCAAUUUCUGUUCUACGCCAUAUGAGCUGACCCCAUGAGUCGAUCCCUGUGCAUGAGUCGACCCUAUGAGUCGACCCCUACGAUGGAAAAACUCUAUAACGGCUAGUUUUUAGCUCAUUUUGACUGCAUUAAUGCCCAUUUAAUAUGUUCUAACGGCUCUAUUUCAGCCC